CACUAUUUUAGAGAUGUAAAUCCAUUUGAGGAUACUAUUGAGAACCUAUUGUUAGAACUAGGCUUCAUGGAUCUACUCUUCUACCUGGAGAGGCCUGAAGUAGUAGCACAUCCCGUUCAAUUAUAAAGAAAACAACUAAUAAUCUUUAAAUAUGGCUGCACCAAUUAACAG